GGGGGAAAAUUAAUAAAAUAUGAAUAAUAAAAUAAAUUUUAAAAUUAAAAAUAAUUAAUGGGGGUUAAAGUAUUUUUAAUAGAAAAAAUUUAAAAUUUUAAAGGGGAUUAGUAUUGUGAAAGAAAUUUGAAAUAAAAUGAAAAUUAAUUAAUAAAAAAGAAAAUUUAAUUUAUUGUAUCUUGUGUAUCAGAGUUUAUUAAAUAAAUUUUUUAAGUAAAAAAAUCUCGAAUUUAAAAGAGUUAAUUAAUUAUAAAAGUUAAUGUAACUUAAUUAUUUUAAAUAAUUAAUUAGAAAUGAAAUGUUAAUCGUUUUUAAAUAUAUCUAGUUAUUUUAGAAAAAAAUUAAAUUUUAAAUUUAAAUAAUUUUAUAAUUUAAUAAUAAAAAUUAUAAAAAUUUAAUUUUAAUAUAUUAAGGGAUAAGCUUUAAAUUAAAAAUUUAUAAUAAAAAUUAAAAAAAAAAUAAAAUUUUUAAAAUUUAUAUUGUUUAAAAAUUAUAAUUUAUUACAAAAAAUUUUAAUUAAAAAUAAAAUUUAAAAGAAAAAUUUAAAUUUUUAUAAAAUAAUAAUUCAUAAUAAAAUUAAAUUAGAAAUAAUGAUAAAAUUAGUAUAAAAAAAAAUUAAAUAAGUAAAUUAAAAAUUAAAAUUAAUUAAAAGGAAUUCGGCAAAAUUAAUAUUCACUUGUUUAUCAAAAACAUGUCUUUUUGAAUAUAAUUUAAAGUCUAAUCUGCCCACUGAUAAAUAUUAAAGGGCUGCAGUAUAUUGACUGUACAAAGGUAGCAUAAUCAUUAGUUUUUUAAUUGGAAACUUGUAUGAAAGAUUUGAUGAAAUAUGAACUGUCUCUUAAUUAAUAUUAGAAAUUUAUUUUUUAGUUAAAAAGCUAAAAUAAUUUUAAAAGACGAGAAGACCCUAUAGAGUUUUAUAUUUAAUGUUAUUUUAAAAAAUUAUGAAAAUUAAUAUUAAAAUGAAAUUAAAUAUUAUAUUGGGGUGAUAGAAAAAUUAAAUUAACUUUUUUUAAAAAUUUAACAUAAAUAAAUGAAUAAAUGAUCCAUUAUUAAUGAUUAUAAGAAAAAAUUACCUUAGGGAUAACAGCGUAAUAUUUUUUUUUAGUUCAAAUAAAAAAAAAAGUUUGCGACCUCGAUGUUGGAUUAAGAUAAAAAUUAAAUGCAAAAGUUUAAAAUUUUGAUCUGUUCGAUCAUUAAAAUCUUACAUGAUCUGAGUUCAAACCGGUGUAAGCCAGGUUGGUUUCUAUCUUUAGAAAAAAAAAAUAUUUUA
rnacentral:rRNA from 1 species